rnacentral:tRNA from 1 species
AAGAGAUUAAGACAAAAAUAGCUGCUAACUAAUUUUUUAAGCGGUUAAAUUCCGUUUGUCUCUUA